rnacentral:rRNA from 1 species
UACCAGCAGCUCAGGUGGUGAUCUUUUUUAUUGGGCCUAAAGCGUCCGUAGCCGGUUUGGUAAAUCCUUGGGUAAAUCGUACCGCUUAACGGUACGACUUCUGGGGAGACUGCCAAACUUGGGACUGGGAGAGGUCGGAGGUACUCCUAGGGUAGGGGUGAAAUCCUGUAAUCCUGGGGGGACCACCAGUGGCGAAGGCGUCCGACUAGAACGGAUCCGACGGUGAGGGACGAAGCCGUGGGGCACAAACCGGAUUAGAUACCCGGGCAGUCCACGGUGUAAACGCUGCGAGCUUGGUGUUGGGGGUCCUACGAGGGCGCCCAGUGCCGGAGAGAAGUUGUUAAGCUCGCCGCCUGGGGAGUACGAUCGCAAGAUUGAAACUUAAAGGAAUUGGCGGGGGAGCACCGCAACGGGUGGAGCGUGCGGUUC